UACGGGGGGGGGCAAGCGUUGUUCGGAAUUACUGGGCGUAAAGAGCGUGUAGGCGGUUAGGUAGGUCCGUUGUGAAAACUCGAGGCUCAACCUCGAGACGCCGAUGGAAACCAUCUAACUAGAGUCCGGAAGAGGAGAAUGGAAUUCCUGGUGUAGCGGUGAAAUGCGCAGAUAUCAGGAAGAACACCCGUGGCUAAGGCGGUUCUCUAGUACGGUACUGACGCUGAGACGCGAAAGCGUGGGGAGCGAACAGG
rnacentral:rRNA from 1 species